GACGAACGCUGGCGGCGUGCUUAACACAUGCAAGUCGAACGGAAAGGCCCUGCUUUUGUGGGGUGCUCGAGUGGCGAACGGGUGAGUAACACGUGAGUAACCUGCCCUUGACUUUGGGAUAACUUCAGGAAACUGGGGCUAAUACCGGAUAGGAGCUCCUGCUGCAUGGUGGGGGUUGGAAAGUUUCGGCGGUUGGGGAUGGACUCGCGGCUUAUCAGCUUGUUGGUGGGGUAGUGGCUUACCAAGGCUUUGACGGGUAGCCGGCCUGAGAGGGUGAACGGCAACAUUGGGACUGAGAUACGGCCCAGAAUCCUACGGGAGGCAGCAGUGGGGAAUAUUGCACAAUGGGCGGAAGCCUGAUGCAGCAACGCCGCGUGCGGGAUGACGGCCUUCGGGUUGUAAACCGCUUUCGCCUGUGACGAAGCGUGAGUGACGGUAAUGGGUAAAGAAGCACCGGCUAACUACGUG
rnacentral:rRNA from 1 species